rnacentral:rRNA from 1 species
UCGAGAAUCUUCGGCAAUGGGGGAAACCCUGACCGAGCGACGCCGCGUGCGAGAUGAAGGCCUUCGGGUUGUAAAUCGCUGUCAGAGGGGAGGAAAUGCCGGUGGGUUCUCCCACCGGUUUGACCUAUCCUCAGAGGAAGGACGGGCUAAGUUCGUGCCAGCAGCCGCGGUAAGACGAACCGUCCAAACGUUAUUCGGAAUCACUGGGCUUAAAGGGUGCGUAGGCGGCCCGGAAAGUUGGGUGUGAAAGCCCUCGGCUCAACCGAGGAAUUGCGCCCAAAACUGCCGGGCUUGAGGGAGACAUAGGUGAGCGGAACCUAGGGUGGAGCGGUGAAAUGCGUUGAGAUCCUAGGGAACACCAGUAGCGAAAGCGGCUCACUGGGUCUCUUCUGACGCUGAGUGCACGAAAGCCAGGGGAGCGAAGAG